CUAAACUUGGAUUCAAGGUAACAAAGACUUUCCUGGCAGCGAUGCCUUUUUGUAAGCAGACUCCAUGAGUAAUUGUGUGGGCAGCUCUCAAGUUGCCUGUGGGUCACUCAUGAUUGGACUGCUGAUGAGAAAUCUGAGCUACCUUCUCCCUUGCAUGCAUUUCCUUUUAAUUCACUUUGAUUCAGGGAAUGUAUAUAUAUUUAUUAUUUUAUCUAGCUAUGAAUAAAAAUAAGCCCCUGUAAAUGCAGUCACUGCAACUGUACAGAAGCAGGCCUGUUCUAAGACACUACAUAUGUGUGAAACACUACAAAUGUACAGGUUUCAUGAAGCUUAAGGAUAUCUCCAGCUUUUGGUUCCUGCUAGUAAUACAGACUCAUUUUACAGAUGAAAGAUCUGACAACAGGUACCUCAAAUUGGUGUAACUGUAACCGACUUCCAAAUGAAGACUGGUACUAAACCCAAGACUAAAAUAUUAAACACAGAGCAUCACAAUCUUCAUUAUUUAGAAGAUUUGGGCUCUUGUGCCCCGACACCGGUCGCCUUCAGCUGUGGCUGUAUCCCGCUCUCCUUCCCUCAUUACACCCUCAGACUUCCCACUAUUAAAGCCAGUUGGAACAGCACUGGUGCCUUCAAGUCCUCCUUCUCUCUGGCUGCGCCUUCAGAUGGUCAUCAGGGACUGUGUGUGCAUGGAAGAGGCAGAGAUGCUCCUCAGUGGGACCCGUCAAGGAGGGAUCUGCCCACACCCACACAGAAAUGGGGUUCCCGGCGAGGACCCCAAAAGGAAACCCGAUAAAAAAUGUUCAAUUUUCAUAUAAAAAUAUUUUUGUAGGACAAACAGCACAGUUUCCAGUGACUGCUAUGCUAGACUGUACAGACACUUUAGUCAAACAGAAGGAGAGAAGGAGAAGCAGACAUGGAAACAGAUGAUCUGAUAAGUCUGCCAACUGCUUAUUCACUUCUUUUAAUAACACCUAAAAGUAACAAUCUGCUGUCUAGCUAACAGUAUCCAAUUUUAUUCUGUAAUUUUCUCUAUGGGUGUGUUGUGUCAUAUUAAAAUACUUGGUUAUAAAUCUGUGGUCCAGAUAAUCUGUGUUUGAUUUAAAAAAAAAAAAAGGCAUUUUGCUUUGCUGAUAUAGCUCAGAUAACUCCUAUUAUGCUAUUUACAGAGUGAGAGAUCACUGUGCUGUAUAAUUAAAGCAG
rnacentral:lncRNA from 1 species